rnacentral:rRNA from 1 species
UACGAAGGGGGCGAGCGUUGUUCGGAUUUACUGGGCGUAAAGGGCGCGCAGGCGGCCAUCUUUGUCAGGCGUGAAAGCCCCGGGCUUAACCUGGGAGGUGCGCUUGGGACGGGAUGGCUAGAGAUCGGGAGAGGAGAGUGGAAUUCCCAGUGUAGAGGUGAAAUUCGUAGAUAUUCGCAAGAACACCAGUGGCGAAGGCGGCUCACUGGCCCGGUACUGACGCUGAGGUGCGAAAGCGUGGGAGCAACAGGA